rnacentral:lncRNA from 1 species
UGGAUAUCCAAGCCGCUAAUACUCUAAUUAAUAGAGGUUUUAGUGUCGACAAGGAAUGCGAGAGGUUGGACUAUGAUACGAUCCAAACAAUAUUUCCGGUUAGAUUAGUUAGACGAUGAAAAGUUUCUAGUGCAGUAAAAUAAUACAAAAAAGAUGAAGCUGUUUUAUUACCUUCUCCAACAAUCGCCCCAAUUUUAUCUUCUAUUAAUUUACAUUCAAAGAGCAAGGAAACUCCAAAACAAAUGCCUUCUUUCGCAGCUGCACCUUCUUUAAACUCACAAGAGAUAGAUGACAUUCAUUUUAAUAUUAAUGAAGAUGAUACAACAGCAGAUACCACUCAAUCAAGCUCCAAGCUUUUCUUUGCAUAAUUUAAAUUCAAAGAAAAAAUCAUUGAAAAAAAGAUACUGCAUUUUUUCCAAAAAAUGAAAACGUGCCUUACUAGGCAUAUAACAAAAACACAUAAAAAAGUUGAUGAAGUUGCAGCAAUUCUGAAGCUUAAUAAGUUUGAAAGAAUUAAAGGUUUUGCAGAACUGAAAAGGAAAGGAAUUUAUGAAUUCAACUGUGAUCAUGUCACAAAAGGAUUGAAAAAUUAUGAAAGGGAAAAAAAUUGAAAAAAGAUAGAGA